CCUGUUCCCGCACGGACGCGCUUUGCCCCCAGGCCCGGACUUGGGGCUGGGAGGGUGUCCCCGGAACCCUCCACGCACCCACACUGCCCCGGCCCUCCCCGAGAGCCGCCUCCGCCGCGCAGCCCGGGCAAAAGCGGUAGCCCUGGGAGGGUGCUCUUGAAGUCUGGGCAGAGGAGAGGGGUCCGACCUGUUCCAAUGAAGUUACGUAGCUGGACGCUGGUGAUUGCCUGUUUCUUCAAAGGAGCUCCAUCCAGGUACUUUCAGCAGGUUGAGAUACACGCUCUAGGACCUUGCUGCUCGAAGUAGGAGCCAUGGACCAGCGCCGUGCACAUCUGUGGAAGCUUGCUCGAGAUGCGGUUUCAUGGCAUGCAGGGCCUCACCCGGCCGUCCUCACAAGCAGAAUCAGGACGGGAGAGUCUGCUCAAUGAGAUAUGCAAUGGGAUGCACAUUAAGCUUGAUGAGUUUUAUGCCCAGGUGUGAUAGCAUUUAAAACGCCUUUUUUUUUUUAAGUACAGUUUCAUUUUAAACCAUACUCAAUCCCUAUUUCUUUCUACCCUCCGCCAAUUGCAUCUAUGAUUAAUUAGUUUAUUUGGCAUUGACAAUGCCUUUGUCCUUUAUGUUUCAUUCUUUAUUAAGGCCUGGUAACACUCGGUAAUUAUGGGACACAGCCUGUCUAUCUAUUCAGUCAAUUUGCACAUGGUACUCAGUGAAUUUCUGUUGAAAUAAAUUGAAAGCCAACAUGCUA